GUGGGACUACACAUAGACUCACUCACUCACACACUCGCUUGGGAAGAGAGAGAGAGAGAAAUUAAAAGUGCCUAGGCGGGAGCUGACCUGCCAAAAGAAAUACUAUCAAUUUGGUGGAGAGAGACUCAAGAUGGCGCUGUGAGAACAACCCAGGAUUGGAGCCCAUGUUGAAUUCGCAAACGCACCAGGAAUGCCAGUGAGACAGAACUGUUCACUCCCCUGGAAAGGGGGCUGAGGC
rnacentral:lncRNA from 1 species